rnacentral:lncRNA from 1 species
GCCCUUUGUUUUCAAUUUUUAUAGAUUUCCUCCCCAAAUUCCUGGGAUUUAAAAAAAACAUUAUUUUCACCAAAUUUGGGAUGCUCCAGAACUUCCUGGACUUAGCUCCCCAUUCCAGAAGGAAAGAUGACAGCUCAGUCGCCUCUCAUGAUGUUCCUGCUCAGAAGAGGGUAACUGCUAUGCUGCAGUGGGGGCGCGAGAUGCGCAAGGUCACCUGACUGCUGCAGCAACAGACCCACAAGGAGAAAAAGGUUUCUUCAACUGCUACAUCACAAUGAAUACCAGGCAACCCCCACCAGUCCCACUUGCCUCCCCCCAUGAGUACUAGGCAUCUGCCACCUGCUGCUUUCCUUGAGUGCUGAUUGAAACUUUCAGCCAUCACAUGAAGUGCAGAAGAAAUGGGAAUCCUGUUCUUCAACAGACAGAACGUUCUCUAACAAAGGUGUGUGGCAUUUUGAUCAAUAAUGUCUCUGUGGAACUUUAGCACAAAGCACAUCUGGGGAAAGUCCAGAAAAAAAACAAAUCUUUUCAUGUCCUUUUUGCCGGUCAGUGAGCAGGAUACGCUCGGAAAGGCUUUCCAAAGACCUUAACGCAGAGCUGCCAAGGAAAUGGAAAGCUACUGUCACUCAUAAUAUGUCCCUGGAAGCUCUUUAGAGCAAGCUAUCAUUCUGGAAAGUCAUUGUGCUGUUUGAUCUCCCAUUGCAAAAGGGUGGCCUCUACUGAUAAAUGUCAUGAUUAUUUUUGUAUUAGACUCCCCAUUGUGGCUCUGAAUGAAAACAGGGCUAAACUGGAAAGUGAAUUCCAUGUGCACAUGGCGAUGCUUUCCUCCAGACAAGAGUGACAUCACUCCAUUGGAAAUUUGGAAAACCCACUGCAUCGAAUUCCCAAAGCUGAGCCAUGCUGCUUCUCACAUCCUCACUGUCCUGCCUGGCUCAGCUAAUGUGGAGAGAAUAUUUUUCUGAAUUCAGCUACAUCCAGGACUGCAGGAGGAUGAACCUUGGAAAAGACACUGAAAUAACUUGUUGUGCGGCUACACCACACAGGUCUUUUGGAAUUCACACUGAAGCCCCUUCUAUCAAGACUGCCAAGCCACUCCAGAACCUAGGUGUGUUUGGAUCUGAGGCUUCAUUCAGAAUUGUCCUCUCCUCUCUCAGCCAUCUUGCAUGUUCUGCCCUUCUUCGGCUUCAAGAUCCUGGCAGAGCAGGCUGUCAGCCUGCAUAGGGAAGGGAAAAACCUCUGUCUCUGUGAUAUCCUCAUUUGAACCAGCUCAGCUAUAAGGUAAAUCGAUGCUAUUAUGUUCUGUAGAAUACUGUACUUCUGAAGGAGCGAUCUUCUGUGUGGG